rnacentral:rRNA from 1 species
AUUGAAUGCUGGCGGCAGGCCUAACACAUGCAAGUCGAGCGAGCGGCGGACGGGUGAGUAAUAUAUGGGGACUGCCCGAUAGAGGGGGAUAACUACUGGAAACGGUAGCUAAUACCGCAUACUAUCGACUAACCCAUAUGGGAUUAGCUAGUAGGUGAGGUAAUGGCUCACCUAGGCGACGAUCCCUAGCUGGUCUGAGAGGAUGAUCAGCACCACUGGGACUGAGAACCGGCCCAGAUCCCACCGGGGGAAGCAGUGGGAAAUAUUGCCCAUGGGGCGCAAGCCUGAUGCACCCAGGCCGCGGGUAUGAGGAGGUCCCUGGGGUUGUAAAGUAUUUUCAGUGGGGAGGCGUUACCGACAGAAGAAGCACCGGCGAACUCCGGGCAAGCAGCCGCGGUAAUA